UGGCGUUGUUUACAAGAACCGUGAUGGCGGACAGAAGGGUUCGGUGACCAGUGACACUCUUUCAAUUUCCUCCACUCCCAGAACUCAGAGAUUCAACAAGAAAGGGAAAAGAAGAGAGAGAGAGAGAGAGAGAGCAAGAGGCACACAGACAGACAGGCAGUGAGAGAGAGAGCGAGAGACAGACAGAGAGAGAGAGAGAGAGAGAGAGAGCAAAAUGGAGGGUGAUCUGUGCCCUCUUUCUCUGUCACAGCCAGCAGCCACAGACCUGCCUGAUAUUGCUCAGUUUUUAUCUAUUUAUAUGUCUGAGGAAGAGACACUAGCUCUGCAGGAGGGACGAGUGAGUAGUGUGAUGAGCCACAGUGUAUUCACAGCCACAGAGCAGCCCACACAGCACACAGAAUUGACACCACAGCCAGCACUACCACCACCGCCACCGCCGCCACCACAACAGCAGCAGCAGCAACAACAACAACAACAACAACAACAACAACAACGGGAUCAUGAUUUCAGUGUCAUGUCUCUGGUCUCUCACAGCCCCAAUGCAGUUGUGUUUGAGGUGCAAGAGAUGCGGGGAGGAGACUGCCAGGGAGGUGAUGGGAGAGAGGGAGCCCCGUGCUGCUUCACCUUUCCCAGGGUGAGUGCUGGCAGUCUGGCCAGGCGGCGGUGGUGGUGGUGGUGGCGGUGGUGACGCUACCCGGGGACAGGCAGCGUGGUGGUGGUUGGCCUGGUGUCUCUGGCCAGGUGGUGCGGGGCCUGGAGGAGGUGCAGGAGGCAGCCCGCCACUGCCCCACUGCUGAGGUGACUGUGGUGCAGUGUGGCGUGGUGCUGGCACGGCACUGCUGCACCACACCACACACCACACCACUGCCACCAUCAUUUAUUUAUUUAUUUAUUUUUGAGUAGACAAGCAAACACAUACACACGCCCAUAAACACACACACACACACACACACACACAUACAUACAUACAGACAGACAUACAGACAGACAGACGGACACACAUUUAAAGUUGAGAGUGCGGGUUGUGAUGGUGGCGGUUGUUGGUGUGAAUAUUGGCGGCAGGACACACCGCUCCACGCAUUGCUCCUUCACUAACAACACGAAAGUUUCCAGCGCAAACACUUCUGUUAUCAAUAUUCACACUGUCUCAUUUUGCUUCUCAAUAAAAUGAUUGUACAAACACAAA